rnacentral:misc_RNA from 1 species
AACUGAUACUACCUGCGGGAACCUGCGGAAGGAUCAUUACCGAGUUUUCAACUCCCUAACCCUUCUGUGAACCUACCUAUCGUUGCUUCGGCGGACUCGCCCCAGCCCGGACGCGGACUGGACCAGCGGCCCGCCGGGGACCUCAAACUCUUGUAUUCCAGCAUCUUCUGAAUACGCCGCAAGGCAAAACAAAUGAAUCAAAACUUUUAGCAACGGAUCUCUAGAUCGGAUGAGCACACG